AGUAACGCGUAAAGAACUUGCCCUUUAGACUGGGAUAACAGAGGGAAACUUCUGAUAAUACUGGAUAAGUUAGUAUAUCGCAUGAUAUGCAAAUGAAAGCUACGGCACUAAAGGAGAGCUUUGCGUCCUAUUAGCUAGUUGGUAAGGUAAGAGCUUACCAAGGCGAUGAUAGGUAGCCGGCCUGAGAGGGUGGACGGCCACAAGGGGACUGAGAUACGGCCCUUACUCCUACGGGAGGCAGCAGGG
rnacentral:rRNA from 1 species